AUUUUCCCACUGUACAGCAAGGGGGUCAGGUUAUCCUUAGAUGUAUACAUUGCAGUUACAGUUUUUUCCCCCACCCUUUCUUCUGUUGCGACAUGAGUAUCUAGACAUAGUUCUCAAUGCUAUUCAGCAGGAUCUCCUUGUAAAUCUAUUCUAAGUUGUGUCUGAUAAGCCCAAGCUCCCGAUCCCUCCCACUCCCUCCCCCUCCCGUCAGGCAACCACAAGUCUCAUCUCCAAGUCCAUGAUUUUCUUUUCUGAGGAGAUGUUCAUUUGUGCUGGAUAUUAGAUUCCAGUUAUAAGUGAUAUCAUAUGGUAUUUGUCUUUGUCUUUCUGGCUCAUUUCACUCAGUAUGAAAGUCUCUAGUUCCAUCCACGUUGCUGCAAAUGGCAUGAUGUCAUCCUUUUUUAUGGCUGAGUAGUAUUCCAUUGUGUAUAUAUGCCACAUCUUCCGAAUCCAAUCCUCUGUCGAUGGACAGUUGGAUUGUUUCCAUGUCCUGGCUAUUGUGAAUAGUGCUGCAAUGAACAUGCGGGUGCAAGUGUCUCAUUUGAGUAGACCUUUGUCUGGAUAGAUGCCCAAGAGUGGGAUUGCGGGGUCAUAUGGAAGUUCUAUGUAUAGAUUUCUAAGGUAUCUCCAAACUGUUCUCCAUAGUGGCUGUACCAGUUUACAUUCCCACCAGCAGUGCAGGAGGGUUCCCUUUUCUCCACACCCCCUCCAGCACUUGUUAUUUGUGGAUUUAUUAAUGAUGGCCAUUCUGACUGGUGUGAGGUGGUAUCUCAUGGUGGUUUUGAUUUGCAUUGCUCUUAUAAUCAGCGAUGUUGAGCAUUUUUUCAUGUGUUUGCUGUCCAUCUGUAUAUCUUCUUUGGAGAAAUGUCUAUUCAGGUCUUUUGCCCAUUUUGCCAUUGAUUGAUUGGUUUUUUUGCUGUUGAGUUGUAUAAGUUGCUUAUAUAUUCUAGAGAUUAAGCCCUUGUCAGUUGCAUCAUUUGAAACUAUUUUCUCCCAUUCUGUAAGUUGUUAAAGGAGGGUUUUAGACGAGCAUCCUGCCUACCCAGUUCAUUUGGUCCCUUCCUCAGCCGGGCCUUCUCUGACUUGCCCCUUGAAAAGCUGGCUCCCAGCACUGCAUCUCAUCUUCUCAGGGUGCUUUGCAUCUCCCUGUGCCCAGGAGACAUCCUCGGUGGCAGCCUCAGUGGAAAGGAUGGCGUCCGCCUGUGCCUCAGGGGUGGCCCACUUCUGUCCAGCAACGUCAUGGGCACAGCGCAAAUGCCCCAUGAAUCCCACCGAUGAGCCACCAAGUGAGUAAGGAAGGCCCCCACUGGCUCGGGCCUCUUGGGCUCCUACAAUCCCAACAAGGCUGCCUUUCGGAGGCAGACCUUCUUCAGACCUUGUCAUCAAAUUUCUCACGGCAGGCCCUGGGUUCUCUGACAGCGUUCAAUCCCUGGUCUUGCUCAGUGGGUUAAGGAUCUGGCUCUGCCACAAGCUACAGUGUAUGUUGCAGGUGCAGCUCGGAUCCAUGGCCGUGGCAUAGGCCACAGAUGCAGCUCCAGUUCAAACCCUGGCCUGGGAACUUCUUUAUGCUGGCAGUGUGGCCCUAAAAAGAAAAAAGAAAAAAAAAAAAAAAGCCACAGGCUUGUAGGUCUCCUGGCUCUCGGCCAGGGUCAGGGUACGUUCUGAGGCUGGAGGUGGGAGAUGGAGGCAGAACCUCGCUCCAGGGGUCAGGUCUCCAGCUCCAGAGGUGGGCAAGGGGCUGAGCCUGUGAGAAGCAGCCACCCUGGGCCAGGCUUGGCUAAUUCAGGCUCCAUCCUGCCAACCUGGGGGUAGGGAUGCACUACUCCCAUCCCAGCGAAGCCGGUGGUAACCCACCCGCCGUAGCCAGGUGUAGCCCGCAGCUCCUCCGCCCCUCACCCUCAGCGCGGCUGAGGUCUCUGAGGCUGUCAUCUGUCACCUCAGUUCUGGGGGGCCUGACGCAUGGCCCAGUUAAGCACAUAGGUUCUUUCUCUUGGGUCUGGGUGCCCACUGGAAUGUCAGCUCCAUGAGGGCAAAGACCAAGCCCUCCUGUCUUGGUUCAUCUGCCCCAGAGCUCAGCAGGGCACCUGGAGCCAAGUUUAUGCUCAGGGAACUCCUAUCAAGGGCUCCACGGUCAGGGUCAAGCCAAAAGCAGCACCUGGUCCAUGGCAGUCAGUGACUCGGAGCUCCAGGACGCCAGCCGGCUCCCAAAGCCUGGAGGAAAUGAAUUUCAUUUCCUCUGGGGGCUCUACUGACCCGUGUGGAAGCCCCAACUGUUGGGCCAAAUACACAACACACUUGAGCCUGCUGUGUAGAGAGGCUUUGAAAUUUUCCCAAUACUGUCAUAAAAAUUAAAAAUUCAUCUUAUGAAAAAUAAAAAGCAAGUGUAACUAACAGGGGAAGUUUGGCUCAGUUGCCUGAAAGCUGAUGGAGAAGGCUCAUCAUGCCACUGGGGAAACUUCUGGCCGCCUCCUCUGUGCGGAGAGCCCCCACCCCUCCCCGAGCCUCUCACCUGAAAACCUCAGAUCAAUAGGUUCAUUUCUGUCCCGCCACCUGCUCCGCCAGGCACAGGCCCCAGCUGAGACCCGGCUUUUCCCUUAUCUGUGGGGAUGCUUUCAACACAGUUUGCGUAGAGGCAGUCCUUCAAGCCGCAUUAUCAUUCCAACUUCACCUCAGUAGCCUCCAAACAAAGAUGACUGGGCUGGCUUGAAGAGGUUGCAGAGUUAAGUCUCCUUAACUGUGGCCACCUCAUCCUGGGAGCUGGAGAUCAGACCCCAAAUCCCAGAUGCACAGGGCAGCUCCGUGUAGUCCGUGAUUUCUCCCUCUGGGCAAAUUGUGUAAUUUUGCCCUGAGAUUCAAGCAGUGCCAGUAACCCUGCGACCUGCCACAUUUCCUCAUGCGACCCCAUCUGUCCUCUUGAUCAAAUAACUUCCUGACACUCAUCUGGGAAUGUACAGACCAUUGAGCAAAGCCCAUAAAGGCACACAGAGUGGUUCCACACCUGCUGAGACACAUGACAGCGUAAAAUCACCCUCAAGAGAUUGGUGUCACUUGAGGCCCCACAUAUGAGAGAUGAGAGGCAGAGUGAACCACCUGGCCCAGUUCUCCACUAAGUGACGGUCUCAUGCCGAGCAGAGCACACAUCCCUAACCCUUGACCUUGGGCUUGGCCGUGAGAUUUGGCUUGGCCAAGUGGAUGUUGGAUCAGACCCAGCAAGCCCGGGCCUGAGGUGCACAAGCACAGAGGGGUCUUCCCUCUCACUCUGGAGAUCUGUUAGGAGAAGAACACACUCCAGGAACCAUGGCCCCUUCCUUCGGCCUGGGCCCUGGAAUGAGAUACAUGUGGCAGGCCACGUGCCUCGGUGACUGUGGUCCAAGAAGGAUGCAGGACACAUGGGUAGAACCAUCCCAAACUACAGCCUGGACCCUAAAGCCCAGAGCCAGGAGCCAAAAGUCCAAGCAGCCCAGCUGAACUGCAGCUGGCCUGAAGACCAAUGAGUGAUUGUCGUUUUUAGGAGACUCUGGAGUGGUUUGUUAUGCAGCAUCAUUGUGGCAGUCGCUGACUGAUACAGUGUCCAAGUUUAUAUGAAGUCUACAUAGAACUCAGGUCACACACUGGCACUUCUGUGGAACACACACGCACACGCACAUGCACAUGUGCACACACGCAGGCACACAUGCACACGCACACACAGGCAUCUUUGCCGUGAACAUAAAGGGCCAUUGUCCCAGGAGCUAGGACGAUAGCUCCCCCUGGCCUGUGGUCCUCUUUCUCCCAUGCUUUCAGAGCCACCAUCCAGGCACUGCCCAGUCUUCCAGAAGACAGUUAUGUCUAUUGCGUCUGUGCAGCUCAGAGCUCUGCCUCCUCUAACUUGUCAAGUUGUUCUCAUGUCCUUUCCGCCAAGGAAGUGUUGCUUUUGAAGCCCAGGCAGCUUGCUUUUCCCCUACUUCUUACCCUAGUUGUUGAACACCUGUCAGACUUGUGACAUCCCAUCCUCCCAAGGGAAAAAAUUAGAGCCAGUUGCAUGCAAACGAAUGCACAGAACAUGUAUUUUUCAUGUCCUCGUGUUGGCUGCCCCUCUGACGGGCCUGCCUCUCUGACUGUCAUCACAGCUGCUCUGGCAACUGGCUGUAAACUCACUGGUCCUCUUAUCAGAGGACAGCAGGUGUCCCUGCUCUUGGUCACAGCCAAUGGAGGAAGAAAGUCGGGGCCGGGAAAGGCCUGGCCCCUCCCUCACCUCACAGCCCAGAGCAAGGGAGCCGGGCGCUCCACAAGCUGGCUGGAUGGGCAGGCUUCCCAGCUUUCUGGGUCCACAGCUCAAGCACACAGGAGCAGCAGCACACUGGGCAGGGCUUGGAGGGGCUGGAGAAAGCCCAUCAGCCCUAGAGACCCCAACUCAGGGCCCGCCCUGCUGACGAGGGUUGGAUGCUAUCCACACAGAGGACCGCAUCCCAGUUCUAUUGGGAAAUCUUUGAUGAUUCAACUUCAUGCCCAGGUCAGGGAGACACCCUCGGAAACCAGCCAUGACCCCCUGGGUAGUGAAGGCAGGCGGGCAUCCUUUACCCCACUCCCAGGAAGUUCAAAGAGGCCACCCUGGGAGAUGAUUUUUAACCUGAAUCUUAGUGAUGAGGAAAGAUUUCCAGGUGAGUCCUGGGGAAAGGCUUUCCAGGACAGGAAUGACAGGUGCAAACUGCACAGAGGAUGUGAGAGUCUGGGGUCCGGGGUGGUUUGAGGACAGCGUGACUGGGGGAGGCUCUGAGAAUGAGGUUUAGGAAGACAGUUGAGGCUGAAUCAUUAAAAUUCCUUUGGGCCCAGACUAAUGGGUUUGGGCAUUUUCCAGCUGGCAAUAGGGAGCCAGGGAAAGAAGUGAGAGGCAGGGAUAGACUUGCUUUCUCACCAGGUCCUCCAGCCACAGGUGGAAGCUGGAUCAGAGUGAGGUGGAGCCAGAAUCUGGAAGGGCAGUGAUGAAGAUUUAGGGAAUAGACGGCGAGGGUCUGGGGAGAUGGAGCCAGACUCCUCUCUGCCUUGGCCCACCUUGGUUUCCCCAUCAUCUGUGACAAUGAGCAGGUGCCCAUUGCUGAAUCAGCUCAACCUCAUCUCUGUUUCUGCCAGGGCUCCAUCCUCCGCAUCAAGAAUAUCACAUCCUAAGGAGUUCCCAAUGCGGUGCAGUGGGUUAAGAACCCGACUGCAGCAGCAGCUCAGGUCAAUGUGGAGGCAUGGCUCCCCUUAUCCCACAGCACAAUGAUCUGGUGUUGCUACAGCUGGGGCGUAGGUCUCAGCUGCAACUUGGAUUCAAUCCCUUUCCCAAGAACUUCCAUGUGCUGUGGGUACAGCCAUUUGAAAAAAAAAAAAAAAAGAAGAAGAAGAAGAAAAAGAAGAAGGUCAAAUCCUGAGACUGGUGAUUUCGGCACCUUUUGGGUUGCCCUCCCUCUUCCUUGGCCAGCACCUUCAUCCAGGCCCUUGUCACCUCCAGGAGCCCCUGUCUGUGAGGGCUACACCAAAGCCCGGGUCCCUGGGCUCCCCAUUCCCCUUGGUGUCUGUCUUUCCCCCAGUUCCAGCGGAUAUUUUUUGAGCAGCACCCCACAUCAGGGCCUUGGGUGUUGGGGGCCGUGAGUCGUGAACGGUGCAGAGGGGGCCUCUUGGCAUCGUCCGUCCAGUGGGAAAGUAGAUGUUAAACACGUUGCUGCCCACUUAGCAGUGCACCCCCCCCAGGGGGAGGGGGAGGGGAGCCCUGUGCCAGGGCAGCAUCUGGGGGGAUCUAGCCUGAGCGUGGAACGUUCGGCAGUGGCCUGGAGGCUGCCUGGGAGCCAGAGGCAGCACGUGGGGGGGCGGGGGGGAUGGGAUGGGAACAAGCUUGGAGAAGAGGAUGCAGAACACAGGACCAGAACUGCGACAGGCCAGCAGGGGCAGGGUGCAGAGGGGGUCUGGUCCAUGUGGAGAGGCAAGAAUCUCCCAAAGAGUUCCCUGGUGGUUCAUCAGGUUAAGGAUCUGGCAUUGUCACCAUUGCAGCUCGAGUCACUGCGAUGAUGCAGGUUUGGAUCCCUGGACAGGGAGCGUCCACAGGUCACAGGCAGGGGGUGGAGUGAGGAGAGGGAAAAAGAAGGCUCUGGAAGAGUAAGAAAAGCACUGGAGGGGGUUGAGUUGUGUCCACCCAGAACCUUAUUUGCAAUAAGGGUCUUUGAAGACGGGGUUAAGUUCAAGAUCAUGACAUUGGAGGGAU
rnacentral:lncRNA from 1 species